rnacentral:antisense_RNA from 1 species
UUCACAUAUUCCGCAUAGGCUCCUGGAUGCCGAGCCCCGAUGACAGUCAAUUGGGCACAGCGGGCCGGCUCGCCACUGCGACAGUUUUCACAUUUCCCGCAGGCAUAUGCCGGACA